CCUACGGGGGGCAGCAGUCGAGAAUCUUUCUCAAUGGCCGAAACCCUGAUGGUGCGACGUCGCGUGGGGGAAUGAAGGCCUUCGGAUUGUAAACCCCUGUUAUGUGGGAGCAAAUUAAAAAGAUAGUACCACAAGAGGAAGAGCCGGCUAACUUUGUGCCAGAAGCCGCGGUAAUACAGCGGGCUCAAGCGUUGUUCGGAAUCACUGGGCGUAAAGCGUUCGUAGGCUGUGUCGUAAGUCGUGUGUGAAAGGCGCGGGCCCAACCCGCGGACGGCACAUGAUACUGCGAGACUAGAGUAAUGGAGAGGGAAGCGGAAUUCUCGGUGUAGCAGUGAAAUGCGUAGAUAUCGAGAGGAACAC
rnacentral:rRNA from 1 species